rnacentral:tRNA from 1 species
GACUGCGUAGCUCAGUUGGAAGAGCAUUGGGCUAGUAUUCCAAAGGUCGUAGGUUCGAAUCCUACCGUGGCUG